rnacentral:rRNA from 1 species
AUUGAACGCUGGCGGCAGGCCUAACACAUGCAAGUCGAGCGGAGGAAGGGAGCUUGCUCCUGGAUUCAGCGGCGGACGGGUGAGUAAUGCCUAGGAAUCUGCCUGGUAGUGGGGGAUAACGUCCGGAAACGGGCGCUAAUACCGCAUACGUCCUGAGGGAGAAAGUGGGGGAUCUUCGGACCUCACGCUAUCAGAUGAGCCUAGGUCGGAUUAGCUAGUUGGUGGGGUAAAGGCCUACCAAGGCGACGAUCCGUAACUGGUCUGAGAGGAUGAUCAGUCACACUGGAACGGAGACACGGUCCAGACUCCUACGGGAGGCAGCAGUGGGGAAUAUUGGACAAUGGGCGAAAGCCUGAUCCAGCCAGGCCGCGUGUGCGAAGAAGGUCUUCGGAUUGUAAAGCACUUUAAGUUGGGAGGAAGGGCAGUAAGUUAAGACCUUGCUGUUUUGACGGUACCAACAGAAUAAGCACCGGCUAACUUCGUG